AUGAAUGUAAACAAUGUGGUAAAGCCUUUGCAGAAAGCAGUACUCUCCAAAUCCAUAACCGAACACAUACAGGAGAGAAACCCUAUGAAUGUAACCAAUGUGGUAAAGCUUUUGUAAGAAGGAGAGACCUCGAAAUACAUAAGCGAACACAUACAGGAGAGAAACCCUAUGAAUGUAACCAAUGUGGUAAAGUCUUUGCAAGCAGUAGUGACCUCCAAAAACAUAAACGAACACAUACAGGAGAGAAACCCUAUGAAUGUAAACAAUGUGGUAAAGCUUUUGCACAAAGCAGUCAUCUCCGAAUACAUAAGCGAACACAUACAGGAGAGAGACCCUAUGAAUGUAACUAGUAUUGUAAAGCCUUUGCAGGAAGCAGUGGUCUCCAAUGCCAUAAAAGGUCACAUACAGGAGAGACACCAUAUGAAUGUAACCAAGGUGGUAAACCCUUUGAAGGAAGAAGUGGUCUUGAAUAUCAUAAUCGAACACACACAGCUGAAAAACCCUAUGAAUGUAACCAAUGUGGUAAAGCCUUUGCAGGAAGGAGUGACCUUUAAAGAGAAAGGACCAUACAGGAGAGAAACUCUAUGUAGGUAUCUGAUGUUAUAAAGCCUUUGCAGCAAGCAUUGAUCUCCAAGUACAUAAAUGAACAUAUACCAGAGAGGAACCUUUUAAACGUAACCAAUGUGGUAAAGCUUUUUCGAAAAACAAUAGUCUUUACACACAGAAAAGCACAUAUAGUUGAGAGAAAUGCUUUGAUUUUAACCAAUGUGGUUAAACUUUUUCAAAAAGCAGUCAUCAACAAAAUCAUNAAAGAACACGUAUAGGAGAGAGAUUUUUGAAUGUUCGCAAUGGUGCUUUUAUAGCUUUUUCACAAAGCAUUGGCCUCCAAAUAUAUAAAGGAACACAUACAGGAGAGAAACUCUAUGAAUAUUGGCAAUGUUUUAAAGCCCUUCCACAUCACAAUUAUCUUCAAAUCUGUAAGGAACAUGAGGUGGAGAGAAAUUCUCUGAAUAACACCAAUUAGGGAAAGCAAUUGUACAAAAGAGUCAUCUCCCAACACAAAAGUAUGCACACUAGAUAGAAACCCUGUGAAUAUAGGCAAUGUGGUAAACAUUUUAUAAGUCACAGUAGUCNCUAAGUAAAUAAAAGGAGACACAGUUGAGAAAAACACUAUGAAAUGAACAAAUGAACCGAGCCUUGUGCAUUAAAAUCUUCAAAUACAUAAAAGAAGACAUAGAGGUGAGAAACCCUAUGUCUACAAGCCAUGUGGUAUUGCUUUCACUUGUCAGUCAUAUUCAAAGACACAAAAGAAAACAAAAUGUAGCAAAAGGCUGAGUGUAUUUAAUAUGGUGAAACUUUUUGAAUAUUUUAGAGUCUUCACAAUGAAACAAUCCAUAUUGCAAAGAAAUUUAGGAAUACAAUAUGGUGAAACCUUUUUAGAUUUCCCAAAUCUUCAUCAUGAACGAGAAACCCAUGAAUGCAUUCAAUAUGGGGAAGCCUUUAAACAUUUCUAAUUCUUCAUCAUCAUGAAAAUAAUCAUACAAAGGAGAUCAAGGGGAUACAAGGCAUGUUUCUUAUUGUCUUGCUUGAGUUACAGUCCUGAUAUCCUUUGGUGAUAAAUAUCAAUGUGGAAAUUGUGAGCUGGAUUAAACCCUUUCCUCCCCAACUGCUUCUUGGUCAUGAUGUGUAUGCAGGAAUAGAAACCCUGACUAAGAC